rnacentral:rRNA from 1 species
GUAGGGAAUAUUGGACAAUGGGGGGAACCCUGAUCCAGCCAUGCCGCGUGGAGGAAGACUGCCCUCUGGGUUGUAAACUCCUUUUAUAUGGGAAGAACCGUCCUCAUUAAUGAGUGACCUGACGGUACCAUAGGAAUAAGCACCGGCUAACUCCGUGCCAGCAGCCGCGGUAAUACGGAGGGUGCAAGCGUUAUCCGGAUUCACUGGGUUUAAAGGGUGCGUAGGCGGAUAAAUAAGUCAGUGGUGAAAUCAACGGGCUCAACCUGUUAACUGCCAUUGAUACUGUGUAUCUUGAAUAUGAGAGAGGUAGGCGGAAUGUUGCAUGUAGCGGUGAAAUGCUUAGAUAUGCUACGGAACACCGAUUGCGAAGGCAGCUUACUAUUUCGUAAUUGACGCUGAGGCACGAAAGCGUGGGUAGCGAACAGGAUUAGAAACCCGAGUAGUCC